GUGCUCAUUUUGGCAGCACAUAUACCAGAAUGGGAACAAUACAUAGAUUAGCAUAAUUCCUGUGUAAGGACGACAUACAAAUCUGUGAAGUGCUCCAUAUUUUU